GGUAUUGUAUGGAUAUCAAUUGUUUCAGUGUGUGUGAGAAUAUUGUUCACUUGGGGGAUUCCCAAACAUAGCUGCUUCCAUCCAUCGGCACAAACUUCCCUUCAUCAAGCGGUAGAAAAUAGUGUAUGAAUAUUUCAUAAAACUUUUGGCACUAACACACAGACAUACACACACACUCCCUCAUAAAUACACUAAUUUGGACCAACUUCAACAUAUUCAUGAAUAAUCAAAGCACACGCAAACACACACUCAUUAACAAAGUCUUUGUUCAUCAAAAUGCCUGUAUUUGUGUAUUGGUGUGUGUGUGUGUGUGUGUGAGUGUGGUAUUGUGUCUGUGUGUGUCCUUCCCCCGUACAGUAAAUAAAGAAAUAAAAGAUGAGAGAGUGUUGUGAAGUUCUCCUCCUCUAGCCGCUCAGUCUGGAGUCUUGGCCAAAUUUCCGCUGUGGUGUAGGUGUGGUGCCCGUCUCUCGUUCUUUCACAUAGACACAGAGACAGCGGCAGACAGCGUUGAAGUGGGAGUGCUGUCGCUCUCGGCGGGCAGGAGUCCAGCGAUCUGCCACGCCAAACUGGGCACCUCCAGAAAAGGACCCGAGGGGUCGGGCGGGUCAAAGGUCAGCUGUCCUUUCUUUUCCUCAGCAUUCCCUCUCUUUCUCUCCCGUGGUAUCUCUCGAUCUUAUCAGGCCCCGUCACGACGGCCCUCAGGAACAUCCCUGACUUCCUGUUUCUGGAGGUGGUGGGGCGGCAGGAGGUGGACUGGAGGAAUGGUGAGACGGCCGCACACACAUUUACUGUGAGAAUGUCCAGGGGGGAAUGCGGAGCAGACAGCCAGGCGAAGACCACUGUCACGUAGCCAACUUUCACCAUCUAAGAGAGGGAGAGACCUUCCCGUCCAUACGGCCCACGCAGUAUUUGCCGGUAAAUCACUGACGCAGCAGAAGCGUGUAUGUCUCUCUCUGUGACCAGCAUGGGAGGAAGCAUGAAGCAACACUGCAGUGAUCCUGUUCCCAAAAUGUUUGAAGUUGGAGGAUGUUUUUUCCUUUUCCUGGUCACGUAUUACUCAACAUCACAGCUACCUCAAGGAGGGGUCCAAGCAUCGAAGGUGUCUGAGCGUCAGAGACUGAAGCUCUGUGGUGUGGCGUGUUGCAAGCGGGAGCCCGUAAGAACAGCCGUGCUGACCUGCUGACCACAGAUCAGGCCAUCCCGGAGCUCUGUGCUAUCUCAUUCACACUGAUUAUACCUCACACUGCCAUUAGAACAGCUGCCGGAUGACUGACCGCUUGGACAGAUACUUGUUUGUGUGUGUUCUGUCUAUUGAUUGCUCAUACACACUGCAGAAAAAUUCACUUGACACAGGCAAAAUACAUUUUUGGCCCCUUCUGCCUGACAGAGAUGAUAUUUUAAGUAGUUUAUUUAUAUAGUAAUUGUGCUACAGGUUUGUAGCAUUAGUAUGAUAAUAAUAUAAUGAUAAUAUUAGAAUUAAUAAUAAUAAUAAUAAUUUAAAAAUAUUAUUUCUGAGCCCCCUGGAUGUGCGAGCAUAGGCACAUACCUAGAAUCCCUCUUCAUACAUUUGUUCCUGUAUACUACCAGUGUUUAGGAAAGUUACUUUUAAAAGUACUGUAUUACAAUAUUGCGUUACUCCCUAAAAAGUAACUAAUUGCGUUACUUAGUUACUUUUUAUGAAAAACAUUACUUUUUUCUUAUCUGGGCUGGGCUUGCUUGUUUGUUUUUUAAUAACAACAAAAAAGGUUUUAUUUUUUGCCAAUGUUAAGGCCCUUUCACACCAAAAGUGAAAUGAAUCAGCCUCAGGCUGAAGGAAAUUCAUAUUUACGCCUGUACAGUAGAGGGCGCUGCUCAAACAAACCUUUCAGCUGUGCUGCUGAAUGUUUUCGUGCAAGUGACAUGAGUAAAUGCAUGUUCACAUUUACUCUAGAAUUACAAUAACCAAGUAACUUAGAAAAGUAACUUAGAUAUUUUGUUGUAAACUGAAAAAGUAAUGUGUUAGUUUACUAGUUACUUUAAAAAGUAAUCCGAUUAUGUAACUCAAGUUACUUGUAAUGUAUUACACCCACUGUAUAUUACCAUUUAAAAGUUUGAGGUCUAUACAGGUGGAGCUGGGGAAGGUGGAGGGUUUCAGAAGAAGUCUUAAAGUGUGCUGCAAACUGCUAUGCUAGCCAGCUAUUUAAAUGUUGAGCAGCAAGCUCUUUGGCUGCAAAUGCGACAUGAACCAAUCAGCUUGUGCCAUGUAGUUAACAAUGUAAAUAUCAUCAGGUUGUGUUAAGGACACAUCAGCCUGCGCCAUCUAGAGUUUUAUGGCAGAACUUGGAAUUUAUAAUGUUACAAAAGAUUUGUAUUUCAAAUAAAUUAACUUUCUAUUUAUCAAGGAAUCCUGAAAAAAAAAAAAAAAGAUCACUGUUUCCAAAAAUUAUGAAGCAGCAACUGAUUUCAACAUUGGUGAUAAUAAGAAAUGUUUCUUGAGAAGCAAAUCGGCAUAUUAGAAUGAUUUCUGAAGGAUCAUGUGACACUAAAGACUGGAGUAAUGAUGCUGAAAAUUCAGCUUUGACAUCAGAUGAAUAAAUUACAUUUUAAAAUUCUUUCAAAUAAAAAAAACAGUUAUUUUGAAUUGUAAUAAUAUUUCACAAUAUUACAGUUUUUACUGUAUUUUUUUUUUUUUUUUAUCAAAUGCAGCCUUUGUGAGCAUAAGAGACUUCUUCCAAAAACAUUUAAAAAUCUUACCAACCCCACACUUUUAAAGGUGGUUGUCAGUUUCAAAACUUCGCAGUGUUUUAUAUUGCAUUGUAUAUUUUUACACAAAAUUUUAAUGCUAAAACAAUGUUUAUGUUAAAACACUCCACCAGUGGUGAAAAUUUGGGGACAAUGGCAGAUGGUAAAUUGUUGGGAGUGUUAUUUUUUAAUUAUAUUGUGCAACUAGUGGUGCAGAAUUUACACACCUUGAAAUUGCAUAAAUUCAGACAUACUGUACAAAACUACAAAAUGAUAUACAUACUGUUGCAUUGUAGCACUUGUCUGCCACAAUACAAUUCGAUGAACUUGACACUGGACACUGGGAUAUCUAAGGAUCAUAAGGUUCCUGCAAAUGAAUAUUACAAGGUGUUGAUUUUAACUUGAAACUUGUUGCUUCCUGUAUUAAACGGAAAUUUAUUCAUA